AUUGAACGCUGGCGGCAGGCCUAACACAUGCAAGUCGAACGGUAACAGGAAACAGCUUGCUGUUUCGCUGACGAGUGGCGGACGGGUGAGUAAUGUCUGGGAAACUGCCUGAUGGAGGGGGAUAACUACUGGAAACGGUAGCUAAUACCGCAUAACGUCGCAAGACCAAAGAGGGGGACCUUCGGGCCUCUUGCCAUCGGAUGUGCCCAGAUGGGAUUAGCUAGUAGGUGGGGUAACGGCUCACCUAGGCGACGAUCCCUAGCUGGUCUGAGAGGAUGACCAGCCACACUGGAACUGAGACACGGUCUAGACUCCUACGGGAGGCAGCAGUGGGGAAUAUUGCACAAUGGGCGCAAGCCUGAUGCAGCCAUGCCGCGUGUAUGAAGAAGGCCUUCGGGUUGUAAAGUACUUUCAGCGGGGAGGAAGGGAGUAAAGUUAAUACCUUUACUCAUUGACGUUACCCGCAGAAGAAGCACCGGCUAACUCCGUG
rnacentral:rRNA from 1 species